ensembl:lncRNA
CGGGACUCUGCGGGUUUCUGUCCAUGGAGGAGAGGAACCGACUCAAAGAAGAGGAGACGGGCGCACGAUCCCAAGAUAGCGGAAGCGGUGCGCCGUCUUCACAACUCCGAGACGAAUUACAGGCGCUACGAACCGGAGCAAGGACUAAUCUCGCCUCAUAAUGAGGCGGUGACCUCGUAUUUGCUCCGGGAAAAGUCCAGAUUUAGACAACGUCAUUGUGUCCGCCUGUGAGACGUAUUUUGAGACGGGACGCAGGAGCUUCAGGUUCAGGCGGAACACUCAUUGCGGGCGGAAGCUGCGAACGAUUCAGCGCGGAGUCGAGCGAGAAGAAAGAGGCUGCUGGAAUCGAGACAAAGUGUGCUGGCUGAUGAAGAGGUGGAACGCUGGAAAUCCGCCACCGUGGAGCUCACGUCGGACGGAGGGGACUGCGUUGUUGGCGGGGUCUCGAGGUGGAUUGUACGGUCGCCACACACACACGAGGCGCCUGCACAACAGACCUGCCUCGGAAAACACGGCGCCAGUGACGUCUACAACCCCGAGGAGGCAAACUGACAGUUUACUGAGCUGUAGUUUUUAAACCGC